UACGUAGGGUGCAGGCGUUAAUCGGAAUUACUGGGCGUAAAGCGUGCGCAGGCGGUUUUGUAAGUCUGUCGUGAAAUCCCCGGGCUUAACCUGGGAAUGGCGAUGGAGACUGCAAGGCUAGAGUUUGGCAGAGGGGGGUAGAAUUCCACGUGUAGCAGUGAAAUGCGUAGAGAUGUGGAGGAACACCGAUGGCGAAGGCAGCCCCCUGGGUCAAAACUGACGCUCAUGCACGAAAGCGUGGGGAGCAAACAGG
rnacentral:rRNA from 1 species